UUUUUUUUUUUCCUUGGUACAAUGGGCUUUUAUGCACCAAACAGCUGUGUUCAUCAUGUUUAUUUAGAAGGCAUCCAUUGUAGUGGAAAAAGUCUGGAGGACAAAAAUCUUGAAGUACAAGACUACUCUGUGGGUGCUGGCAUUUUUAUUUUUUUGCUGUCCUGUUCCUUUGGUCAGUAUGCAAGUCACAUACACAGGCAGUGCCAUGCAGACUUGCAAACCCUGUAUAAUAGCAACUUUUCACAAGUGCUGUCUCUUAUUCCAAGUGUUCUUCUCCAGAAAGUUUCAAUUGCAAGGCAACAUACAGGACACACAACUAUUUUACACCCUAUGAUCCUAUCAUUUUUCAAUCUGUUGCUAUUUUGGACCCUCAUUAGGUCACUUUCCAAAUAUUGUGUACAGCUAUGUGUCAAUCAUUGUCACAGCUUGGCUCCAGGCUAAGCCAACCCAGGACAAAACCGUGAGGGGAAAAAAAAUGCCAACCAAAGCAAGCACUGUGUAGAAAACAGUCAACAGUUUGACUGUGGAAAGCUAUGUGUUGUUCCAAAGAUAGCAUAAGCCCACUUGCUGCAGAAACAGCAUACAGUACUAAUGCUCUCCAAAAUAAUUUUAUGCGGUUGAAAUGUGUAGUGUAUACCCAAUGGCAUCUGCAAAUAAACAGAUGUUAGAAUCUCAAGAAUUAAGAGCAUGACAUUGUCGGAAACUCUUGGGUGACUCCUGCCAAAAAGGCAGUCUGGUUUCCCGUUUCUGGAAAGAACAGAGCAUAUAAGAUAUUGCCAGAACUUCUUUUGAGCAACAGUAUCUCUAGCACCUUCUAAACCCUUGAAUGAAAGCUGCUGUACAAUCAGGCAGUGUUAGCCUGGGAAAUCAGAGGGUUCCCUACUUCCUUCAGGGUACAUCCAGCAGGGCAGAUGCAUUCCCAUGCCAUAGGAGAUAGCUGUGCUCCUUUCCCUCUUGUCAGGUUAUCGUGUGUUAGGACAUAGUUCAGGUGAAUACUGGAAAUAUACAAGUGUCUCCAUCAGCCACAUAGUCAAUGCCGUCGUCACAGGCUCGAAAAUGAAUGGCAACAAACUAACAUGCCUUAUCCUUUAAAAAUAAUAAAAUAUCUGUAUAGAAUGAAAUGGCUUCUUAUUUCCUGAAUGGUGAAUGCUCUUGGCUUUCUACAGAGCUGCAAUUCUCAGUUGCUGUUGCUGCUCAUGUGCCUCAGGAAACUGUAAUGAGGUUAAAAAGAGCAGAAUAAAGUUACAGCUUGUGGAUGAUAGGAAUCCACACAGAAGGUGAUUCUGGGAUCUGAAAACAGCACAGCUGGGGGGAGGCUGCACAGGGACUGACUGCUUGGAGCUGGGGCAGAGACAGGGGCCUGAAGAAGGCCUGGCAUAGCAGGCAAAUUAUCUUCCAGAAGAAAGGUUAGGGGGGAAAAUGGAAAGAACUAUGAGCCAAGUGGAAAGGGAGUGUGACAAAAGGAUUAGCUCCUACUUGCACAGAGUAUAGUAGAAGUCGAAAUGAACUCGGGAACUGUCAGGAAGAGAAAACUGUUUCUCAGAGACUGUUUCAAAGGCUUCCUGAAUGCAGACUCCAUUUACUUGUUUCUUCCUUUUUCUCCCAAAAAAUAAAGGACCUGCUGUGAGCAGAAUGUAUCUCAACUUCAAUAAACACGGGCCUGAACAGAGUCCCAAUCUGGAAUCCAUGCUGGCCGAACUCCUGGAGGCUUGCUGCUACCUGGGUACCAUAAAGCUUGAAAGCCAAGCAGGAAGGGGUAAAAUCUACAAUUUGUCAUCAACAGAUAUCUGCAGUCCCAGAGCCUGAGUUCUCCUGCAUGGCAGUGGCUGCACAGUGGUGAUCUCCCAAGGGUGUGUCUCAAGGCCACUCCUCAAGACCAAGAGAUCCCUUGCCUGGCAUCUGGAAUCUAUAGCAAGGGAUCUGGUUUAACUGAAGGCCCAGUUAUGAAGAAGGAAAACAGGUGCAUAGAGGAGUUGCAAGCUGAAGGAGUUAGAAACUAUGCGUGCCAAAA